rnacentral:RNase_P_RNA from 1 species
CCAGAGGGCCGGGCGAUCGCUGGCCUGCGCUGACGCUGCGGUUGACUUGAACAUGGACUUGUCAAUCGAGCCUUUGCGCAGGGGAGAGGAAAGUCCGGGCACCAUGGGACUGCGGUGCCGGGUAACACCCGGCGGUCCGCGCGCAAGCGGGGAUCAGGGACAGUGCCACAGAAAGCAUUCCGCCCGCCUUCGGACGGGUCAGGUCGAAAGGGUGCGGUAAGAGCGCACCGCGGGACUGGAAACAGGACCGGCACGGUAAACCCCACCGGGUGCAAGACCGAAUAGGGGCGGCAUAUGGGCCUGGUCCUGGCCCGUCGCCCGGGUUGGUCGCUUGAGGGGCAGGGCAACCUGUCCCCUAGAGGAAUGAUCGCCCAUCCGUCCUUCGGGCCGGUGGACAGAACCCGGCUUACAGGCCCUCUGGCAAC